CAACUGUUAAGUCCCAGCCUGAACCACUGAUUCAGCACCCGGGGAAAGGACCCGGUCAGCUCUGGGAGCACAGGUGAAGGCAAUUCGGCUGUGUGACCAGAAGGGGUGGAGCCUGGCUGCACCUCUCUUAGACCUCAUUUAAGUGCUGACUACCCCUGGGGAAGGGUCUCUUUCUGGAGAUCCCUCCUUGGUGGAUUUUUUCCCUCUGAACCUGGAAUCUUCUGGUAUGGAAAGAGCUCAGCACAAAUGUGACAGGGGCUUGAAUGUCCCUGAUGCUGUGAUGGGGGGUGGGACCCCAGUCAGCCCUGUCCUGGCAGUGUGACCCCUGGAGGAGGUAGAGAGGUUGUGGUGCAGCAUGGGAGAGCAAUGUGCACCUGCUGGAGGAGGAGAAGAAAAUGGGGAGCCCCAAACUGCUGGAGUGUUAAUGAACUCUGGUGCUUCUGGUGUCUCCUGUGUUUGUUUUUCCUUGCUGAGCCCAACCGUAAAUAUAAAGCAAAUAUAAAUGCUUAUGUACCAGUAAUGUCUUGUUUUCCCUCUCUCUUCCCAAAGUCACCCUGCUGUACUGUGAACCCCCAACAUAUUGUUAAUUAGGAAUGAAUCAGUGUGCCUCUGAUUAAAAUCCUUCCUACUUCAUGGCUUUUAACUAACUACAGUGUCUCUGGGUUUGUGCCAGCUUUGGUUUUAAACCUUUGAAGAAUCUCUAAUCCGCACAGCACAGACCAGCCAAUUAUUUUUUGUUAUAAACAGUAAAUAUCUAUCGAACAUAGAUAUUUUUGUUGCAGAUAAGGAUGCUCCUUGAGGAGCUCAGUAUCCUUCUCCAUAAUUUGCUGGGGUAGAAAAUACCUGAGAUGUACUUUAAUCAACUUUGUACUGUGUGGG
ensembl:lncRNA